rnacentral:rRNA from 1 species
AACGAACGCUGGCGGCAGGCCUAACACAUGCAAGUCGAACGAGAAGCCACCUUCGGGUGGUGGACAGUGGCGGACGGGUGAGUAACGCGUGGGAACGUGCCUUUCGGUUCGGAAUAACCCAGGGAAACUUGGGCUAAUACCGGAUACGCCCUUCGGGGGAAAGAUUCAUUGCCGAAAGAUCGGCCCGCGUCGGAUUAGCUAGUUGGUGGGGUAAUGGCCCACCAAGGCGACGAUCCGUAGCUGGUCUGAGAGGAUGACCAGCCACACUGGGACUGAGACACGGCCCAGACUCCUACGGGAGGCAGCAGUGGGGAAUAUUGGACAGUGGGCGAAAGCCUGAUCCAGCCAUGCCGCGUGGGUGAAGAAGGCCUUAGGGUUGUAAACCCCUUUCAGCGGGGAAGAUAAUGACGGUACCCGCAGAAGAAGUCCCGGCUAACUCCGUGCCAGCAGCCGCCGUAAGAC